AACGCACAUUGCGCCCGCUAGUACUCUAGCGGGCAUGCCUGUUCGAGCGUCAUUUCAACCCUCAAGCCCUGCUUGGUGUUGGGGCCCUACGGCUGCCGUAGGCCCUGAAAGGAAGUGGCGGGCUCGCUACAACCCCGAGCGUAGUAAUUCAUUAUCUCGCUUAGGGCGUUGUGCGGUGCUCCAGCCGUUAAAGACCAUCUUUAACUCAAGGUUGACCUCGGAUCAGGUAGGAAUACCCGCUGAACUUAA
rnacentral:misc_RNA from 1 species